ensembl:snRNA U1 U1 spliceosomal RNA
ACAGUUUUGCAGCAAGACGCGGGAGUUACUGCUUGUGUCGGCCUGGUCCGAGCCAAGCACUUCGGCUGUGGUGACCCCUGCGAAUUCCCCAAAUGUGGGAAUCUCGACUGCAUAAUUUCUGGUAGUGGGGGGCUGCGUUCGCGGUCUCCCCUG